CGAAGGUAGCGUAAUCACUUGUUCUUUAAAUGAGGACUAGUAUGAAUGGCACCACGAGGGUUAGACUGUCUCUUUUUUUUGAUCAGUGAAACUAAUCUCCCCGUGAAAAAGCGGGGAUUAUUAUAUAAGACGAGAAGACCCUAUGGAGCUUUAAACAAACUAACAUCCGCUACCACUUAAUUACUUUCAGAAUUACAACAAAAAAUAUAGCAACUUGAUUACAAGUUUUCGAUUGGGGUGAUCACGGAGUAAAAAACAACCUCCACGCCGAACGGACUAAACUCCUUAACAACAAGCCACGGCUUUACGUAUUAAUAUAUUAACGCCUUUGACCCAUUAUUUGAUCAACGAACCAAGUUACCCUAGGGAUAACAGCGCAAUCUACUUCAAGAGCCCCUAUCGACAAGUGGGUUUACGACCUCGAUGUUGGAUCAGGGUGUCCCAGUGGUGCAGCCGCUACUAAAGGUUG
rnacentral:rRNA from 1 species